UACGGGGGGGCAAGCGUUGUUCGGAAUUACUGGGCGUAAAGGGCUCGUAGGUGGCCAACUAAGUCAGACGUGAAAUCCCUCGGCUUAACCGGGGAACUGCGUCUGAUACUGGAUGGCUUGAGUUUGGGAGAGGGACGCGGAAUUCCAGGUGUAGCGGUGAAAUGCGUAGAUAUCUGGAGGAACACCGGUGGCGAAGGCGGCAUCCUGGACCAAUACUGACGCUGAGGAGCGAAAGCCAGGGGAGCAAACGGG
rnacentral:rRNA from 1 species